GACGAACGCUGGCGGCGUGCUUAACACAUGCAAGUCGAACGGAAAGGCCCUGCUUUUGUGGGGUGCUCGAGUGGCGAACGGGUGAGUAACACGUGAGUAACCUGCCCUUGACUUUGGGAUAACUUCAGGAAACUGGGGCUCAUACCGGAUAGGAGCUCCUGCUGCAUGGUGGGGGCUGGAAAGUUUCGGCGGUUGGGGAUGGACUCGCGGCUUAUCAGCUUGUUGGUGGGGUAGUGGCAUACCAAGGCCUUGACGGGUAGCCGGCCUGCGAGGGUGACCGGCCACAUUGGGACUGAGAUACGGCCCAGACUCCUACGGGAGGCAGCGGUGGGGAAUAUUGCACAAUGGGCGGAAGCCUGAUGCAGCAACGCCGCGUGCGGGAUGACGGCCUUCGGGUUGUAAACCGCUUUCGCCUGUGACGAAGCGUGAGUGACGGUAAUGGGUAAAGAAGCACCGGCUAACUACGUG
rnacentral:rRNA from 1 species